GAUGAACGCUGGCGGCGUGCUUAACACAUGCAAGUCGAACGGUGAAGGCGGAGCUUGCUCUGCUGGAUCAGUGGCGAACGGGUGAGUAACACGUGAGCAAUCUGCCCCUGUCUCUGGGAUAAGCGCUGGAAACGGCGUCUAAUACUGGAUACGAGCUGCGAAGGCAUCUUCAGCAGCUGGAAAGAACUUCGGUCAGGGAUGAGCUCGCGGCCUAUCAGCUUGUUGGUGAGGUAACGGCUCACCAAGGCGUCGACGGGUAGCCGGCCUGAGAGGGUGACCGGCCACACUGGGACUGAGACACGGCCCAGACUCCUACGGGAGGCAGCAGUGGGGAAUAUUGCACAAUGGGCGAAAGCCUGAUGCAGCAACGCCGCGUGAGGGACGACGGCCUUCGGGUUGUAAACCUCUUUUAGCAGGGAAGAAGCGAAAGUGACGGUACCUGCAGAAAAAGCGCCGGCUAACUACGUG
rnacentral:rRNA from 1 species